rnacentral:rRNA from 1 species
CGUUAGUGGCGGACGGGUGAGUAACGCGUGGGUAACCUGCCGUAUACAGGGGGAUAACACUUAGAAAUAGGUGCUAAAACCGCAUAAGCGCACAGCGCCGCAUGGCGCAGUGUGAAAAACUCCGGUGGUAUACGAUGGACCCGCGUCUGAUUAGCCAGUUGGCAGGGUAACGGCCUACCAAAGCGACGAUCAGUAGCCGGCCUGAGAGGGUGGACGGCCACAUUGGGACUGAGACACGGCCCAAACUCCUACGGAAGGCAGCAG